rnacentral:rRNA from 1 species
GACAGAGGAUGCAAGCGUUAUCCGGAAUGAUUGGGCGUAAAGCGUCUGUAGGUGGCUUUUCAAGUCCGCCGUCAAAUCCCAGGGCUCAACCCUGGACAGGCGGUGGAAACUACCAAGCUGGAGUACGGUAGGGGCAGAGGGAAUUUCCGGUGGAGCGGUGAAAUGCGUUGAUAUCCGAAGGAACGCCGGUGGCGAAAGCGACGGGCUGGAUCUCUUCUGACGCUGAGGCGCGAAAGCCAGGGGAGCAAACGGG